rnacentral:rRNA from 1 species
UACGAAGGUUGCAAGCGUUACUCGGAAUUACUAGGCGUAAAGGGUGCGUAGGCGGCGGGGCCAGUCUGAUGUGAAAUCCCCGGGCUCAACCCGGGAACUGCAUUGGAUACUGCCUUGCUAGAGUACUGGAGAGGGAACUGGAAUUUACGGUGUAGCAGUGAAAUGCGUAGAGAUCGUAAGGAAGGCCAGUGGCGAAGGCGAGUUCCUGGACAGUGACUGACGCUGAGGCACGAAGGCCAGGGGAGCAAACGGG